AGUGAACAAGGCAUGUCAUUACUCUAAAGAAAUUUUUAUACUUGAUGUAACACAAAACAAUUAAUUUUCUAUCUAGCCAUCAGUUUAAUGUAAAAUUUUUCGUUGAUUUAAAUUAAAAGUAAGUAUUGUUAGUGUAAAGUAAAUGGAUUUCUUUAAAUUAAAGUAAAAAUAUUGGUUUCCGUUGUCACGUGACUUCUGACGUCAUCCGUGCCGUGGUCGUGCGUGAGACGUUCAGCUUUCCGCCAUCUUGUUAAACCGCAUGGAAGAACUCAGCGUGGGAAAACGGGAAGCAAGAAAAUUGCAGCGAAUAGUUUCACAGAAAUAUCACAUCAGAACCAUUAGUGCAUUGGAUGGCCAGCUCUGUUUCAACAAGAGGAGAUUAAUGCCGAAUUUUUUCUUAUCACGACCUUACCUUUGCAAUCAAGAUUUGUGGCCUCUUAGGACAGACAGAGCUCUCAGCUUCUCCGGGUGAUCAGGAGCGAAGGUGGACUCCUUCGUGAAAAAACUAAGGAUACUAUAAAAGUUAUGGAUCAGAUAUUGGUUGCAUGAGAACAAAAUUGCUUGUGGCAAUCAAUUUAGUAGUGUUUUGGUCUAAUAAAAACAAUACAUUUUGUAGAGUCCGGACAUAGACGUCAGAAGAGAGUGCCUGCUGAAGUGCCUGAUCAUGUACCUUGGUGAAGAUGCAAGUUGUCUGAUCAAAGAAUACCAGGAUGACCAGACGGAGGAAGCGGAGAGAGAAUUUGAAAAGACCACUAUGGCAUUUUUUGUGAUCCGUGAAAGUGAUGCUCUUAGUCGUGUGCUGGACAUUUCCAUUGCCAUUGAAGGUGUGGAAGUACUGAAGGAGUUGCCCACUGUUGCCUGUGCCUGUGCCGUGAUGUUUGGACUCGUUUAUGCACUGAACCUAAAAUAUCCUGAAGGACUCAAAUAUACUUUUGAGGCCUUUCAGAUAAUAAUCAUGGACAUAGAGAGUAAGCAGAUGAGCCGAAGGGUGCAGAACCUCUCUUCAAAGCUGCAGGGGUAAAUUUGUUUCCUUUGACCCAGCUACAAUUUUCUGCUGAAGUUUGAUGUUUACAUUGUUAGACAUUGUGUAUGAGGAUACUGUACACGUAAAAGAAAAAGUUAUGACAAAAUAAAUUGUCAAAAGUUUGAUGCUUGAAGUCAUUUUUCUUAAAUGAUAAAAUUACACAUUCUGAAAGUAAAUAAAUUUCUUUAUAAUACAUUAAUAUUUUAAAUUGUAUUUUUUUGGAUAUUUGGUUAGAUAUGUAAAGUACAAUAAUUAAGUCAAUACAACUUAAGAAAACAUUAAGACAAAGUAUAAUUUGAUAUUUCAUUCAACUUAAAAACUUUAUUUGAUUCAAAGAUUAAUUUUUACUUUAGCUAAGUAAUGGAUGGUUAAUUCUCUUCAAAGUAAAAAUUUUAAGUUGAUAGAAAGUAAAUCAAUUAGAUGUAACCAGUUGACGCAAUUUUUUUACU